UUCCCCUUCGGGGGACAAAGUGACAGGUGGUGCAUGGUUGUCGUCAGCUCGUGUCGUGAGAUGUUGGGUUAAGUCCCGCAACGAGCGCAACCCUUAAGCUUAGUUGCCAUCAUUAAGUUGGGCACUCUAAGUUGACUGCCGGUGACAAACCGGAGGAAGGUGGGGAUGACGUCAAAUCAUCAUGCCCCUUAUGAUUUGGGCUACACACGUGCUACAAUGGACAAUACAAAGGGCAGCGAAACCGUGAGGUCAAGCAAAUCCCAUAAAGUUGUUCUCAGUUCGGAUUGUAGUCUGCAACUCGACUACAUGAAGCUGGAAUCGCUAGUAAUCGUAGAUCAGCAUGCUACGGUGAAUACGUUCCCGGGUCUUGUACACACCGCCCGUCACACCACGAGAGUUUGUAACACCCGAAGCCGGUGGAGUAACCUUUUAGGAGCUAGCCGUCGAAGGUGGGACAAAUGAUUGGGGUGAAGUCGUAACAAGGUAGCCGUAUCGGAAGGUGCGGCUGGAUCACCUCCUUUCUAAGGA
rnacentral:rRNA from 2 species